GACGGAGGUUGCAAGCGUUAUUCGGAAUCAUUGGGCGUAAAGAGCGUGUAGGCGGCCGGUCAAGUCAGAGGUGAAAGCCCAGGGCUUAACCCUGGAAGUGCCUUUGAAACUGGUCGGCUUGAGUUCGGGAGAGGAAAGCGGAAUUCCGGGUGUAGAGGUGAAAUUCGUAGAUAUCCGGAGGAACACCGGUGGCGAAGGCGGCUUUCUGGACCGAAACUGACGCUGAGACGCGAAAGCGUGGGGAGCAAACAGG
rnacentral:rRNA from 1 species